CCUACGGGAGGCAGCAGUGAGGAAUAUUGGUCAAUGGACGAGAGUCUGAACCAGCCAAGUAGCGUGAAGGAUGACUGCCCUAUGGGUUGUAAACUUCUUCUAUCAAGGAAUAAAACGAGGCACGUGUGCCUUUUUGCAUGUACUUUAUGAAUAAGGAUCGGCUAACUCCGUGCCAGCAGCGCCGGUAAUACGGGGGAUCCGAGCGUUAUCCGGCUUUAUUGGGUUUAAAGAGAGCGUAGAUGGGUUGGUAAGUCAGUUGUGAAAUUUUGCGGCUCAACCGUAAAAUUGCAAUUGAUACUGGCAGUCUUGAGUACAGUUGAGGUAGGCGGAAUUCGUGGUGUAGCGGUGAAAUGCUUAGAGAUCACGAAGAACCCCGAUUGCGAAGGCAGCUUACUAAACUGUGACUGACAUUGAUGUUCGAAAGUGUGGGUAUCAAACAGGAUUAGAUACCCUUGUAGUC
rnacentral:rRNA from 1 species